rnacentral:rRNA from 1 species
UACGAAGGGGGCUAGCGUUGUUCGGAAUCACUGGGCGUAAAGGGCGCGUAGGCGGCUUUUCAAGUCGGGGGUGAAAGCCUGUGGCUCAACCACAGAAUUGCCUUCGAUACUGUUAGGCUUGAGACCGGAAGAGGUGAGUGGAACUGCGAGUGUAGAGGUGAAAUCGUAGAUAUUCGCAAGAACACCAGUGGCGAAGGCGGCUCACUGGUCCGGUUCUGACGCUGAGGCGCGAAAGCGUGGGGAGCAAACAGG